UACGUAGGGGGCUAGCGUUAUCCGGAAUUACUGGGCGUAAAGGGUGCGUAGGUGGUUUCUUAAGUCAGAGGUGAAAGGCUACGGCUCAACCGUAGUAAGCCUUUGAAACUGGGAAACUUGAGUGCAGGAGAGGAGAGUGGAAUUCCUAGUGUAGCGGUGAAAUGCGUAGAUAUUAGGAAGAACACCAGUGGCGAAGGCGAUUCUCUGGACUGUAACUGACGCUGAGGCUCGAAAGCGUGGGGAGCAAACAGGAUUAGAUACCCGGGUAGUCCCUGAGCGGGCU
rnacentral:rRNA from 1 species